rfam:Triticum aestivum genome assembly, contig: Triticum_aestivum_CS42_TGACv1_scaffold_093450_2AL
GUAUUACUAGGAGUUCCCUUCAAACACUUUACAAAAUACCUUUUUGAGGGCUUAUGUGAAGUGUUUGGGGGAACUCUCAGUGUAAU